UACGAAGGGUGCAAGCGUUUAAUCGGAAUUACUGGGCGUAAAGCGUGCGUAGGCGGUUUGUUAAGUCUGUUGUGAAAUCCCCGGGCUCAACCUGGGAAUGGCAAUGGAUACUGGCAGGCUAGAGUGUGUCAGAGGAUGGUGGAAUUCCCGGUGUAGCGGUGAAAUGCGUAGAGAUCGGGAGGAACAUCAGUGGCGAAGGCGGCCAUCUGGGACAACACUGACGCUGAGGCACGAAAGCGUGGGGAGCAAACAGG
rnacentral:rRNA from 1 species